GGGGAUCAUGAAGAAUCAGAUGCUACUUUUCAGUGUUUUUCAAGAACACAGAGGCUGAAGAUGAGAUAACUUGAAGUGAAGUGAUUUCUCAGCACCCCACAACUAACCACUGUCUGAGGCUGGAUUGGAAUUCAGGAUUUCCUGACUCCUGACUUACACUUCGAGUGGCCCCGAUACAAGACAUGGUCUCCCAACUCCAGCCAGAAUUAUCUCCCUCCUCAUCUUCGCUUCCAGGAGUCCGCCCAAUCCUGCUCGCCACAAGGAGCUGUCACCAGCCCCCUCCCUCCGCGUCCCUUCCCUCUGUUGUCUGUCCGUAGCCGUUUUCAUGUUGCUUCUCCAGGACUUCCCUACCAUCAGUCACCGAGUUCUUUGCGCAAAUCCUUUGCCAUCUUUCGCC
rnacentral:lncRNA from 1 species